UUUCCGUAGGUGAACCUGCGGAAGGAUCAUUACAACGUAUCCACGUAUAAACCUUUGUGAACAUGUUUAACCGCGUAAUUGUCACGUCGCAAAGCAGUCAGCGAUUCGGAAAUAAAGCUGACCGCCCGCUACUCUCUCGCAGAGCAGGGACGCAACAAUUGUGUUUUUCCGUUACAUUAUUAACCACUGUAACUUUCUAUGUACUUAACGAAUUAAGGCGAAAGCUUUUCUUCGAUAAAUAUAAGAAAUUAUAGCACAACUCUUAGCAACGGAUAUCUAGGCUCUC
rnacentral:misc_RNA from 1 species